rnacentral:lncRNA from 1 species
UUGGAUAUUGAUUCUACUGGAACGUUUUGCAUUAGCUUGGAAAACCAUGUCUUGACAUUUUGAUGAUGGAUGAACAAAAAGAGGCUGCAACGUUUUCUCUGAAGGGGGCUGCAGGCACACGUUUGGAGAGCUCUUCCUCUCGGUACUUUGAAGGCCAAUUGCUGCCAUUUUUUUUUUUAUUUUGCUUAAACGUUGAGAAGCUUUUGGCUGGAUCCAUGUGAAUUUAAUUUGAUUUUGAAUGAAUGAAAGGAGGGGAAGCACGUUUUAGAAGGAUUCAUAGUUGUUUUCAUGGGUUGAAUUAAUGAAGC